CGGGGACGUGCCAUCUGUUGAGGUUUGUGUGCUUGGUUGUGUGGCACCUUAGGGCCUAAAAUGGGCCAAAUAAGCGUGGCUCAGGGCUCAAACCUGCGAUGGUCUGCGCUUGGCAAUAUUACGGGGGUCACUGUUAAGCUCCUGACGAUAAAAGCACCAAAACCCCCGUUUCCAUCUCCCGUGAGCUGGUCCCUCCCUGCCCACAGCAGCCUUUUAAAAUCCUGUCAAACACCAGUGUUGUUUUUCAACGUGAUGGGCUCUGCUUCCCGCAAUGACAACGGCAGCAGAAGCAGCAGAGGUGUUGCAUUGUGUGAGCUCCAGCAAGGAUCAGCGCUCGGGACUACUAACGUCUCAAGAGACGAGGAAGAAGGUAAAGCUUCUCUUGCUGAAUGCUUACAACCAAAAUAGACAAGAUAUGCAGGCUUACUGGGAACAGCUGACUAACCAUGCUCAUACAUACAGCUAGGAUUUAUCCGUGUUCAAUAUCGUGGAAGGAAUCUGCCUUUUUUGCCUCAGGGUAUCUACAGGAGCUGAAUCCUAGCCCCGUCAAGAAGACCAAUCCAGCUAACACUGGGAACAAACUCUUCUUCACAAAGUGCACCAGCAGGGAUAAAUUCCUCCCUAUAGUAGGAAAAAUCUGAGUUGCAAAUAUGAUGAGGUGCUCUUCUUAUCAAGGCUUUCUGGAUAAAAACCUGUAUAUGGGAUAAGCUACUUGGAAAUGCUUCCUGCCACACCAGCUGUGGUUUUUCUGUCAGUUUUCUAAGUUCUCCACAAUCACUGAGCCAUUACCAGUUUUGAGACAGAGGGAGAAGGGGAGAACAUGUUGCAUAUUGGCAAUAAAAGAGCAAGCUCUCAAACAUAAGUGAAGCAAACGUGGAGGAUCUAGUAGAUCACAGGAUCAGGCAAACUGAUCUUGCCAUACAUAGAAAACAUACCAGGACUCCUCCACCUCAGCUGCUUUUUCAUAGGCAUCGAAACACCAGCAGGUCAGCUGACAAAAACCAUGAGACUUGCUAAAGUGGGCUUCGGUGGAUUGAAUAAGGCUCAAGAGUAAUCCAGGUGCAUUCAAAAUGAGAACUUUAAUAGCCUAUUGAUGUACACAGUGAGUUCUGUUGUACCAUCUACCAGAAGGCAGCGAAAAUUCAAGCUGUUAUAAAAGAACACAGGCCUUGUGGGGAGCCGAGUCUCCUGGCGCUGCACUAUAUCCACUCUCUUUUUCUGCCUCUCCAGUUUCCUGUUCUUUGACUUGGUUUUCUUGGUACCAUCUAGCAGCAGCUAAUAGUUUUGGAAGAGAGGAAGAGGGCAUAUAUGUUAAUACUCUGACAUCUCAAGAUGCAGCUAACAAUUGCCUGUGAGCCAGAAGCUUGUCAUAUGUGUAAAACUUAUAUACAGUCAAUCUAAACAAGACCUACCUUCACUUUAUCAGCAUUCUACAAGUACUAGGUGAAUACACAAAAUGCCUUUUUAUUCCAAGACCGAAGUCUUUCACAUUCCUUUGGGGCUCAGUAUCGAUGGGAAAUAGUAGACUGCUGAUUAGCCUUAAAAGCCACUCGGCCUUCCAGACUGCACUGGUACAUAAGCAGCUUUGAUUUCAGUCAUUUUAGGCACUUUUUCAUUUUAAAGCACUUUGCUCAAAUGCUUUAAUGGUAUAGACUCACAUUUUUCAGACAGAGGUUUUGCUUUCUAUUCGACCCUUUUUCAGACGACAACCAAAUCCAACCAUGGCCUCUGCCAAGUCUGAUCUUAAAUGGCGAGAUACUGCAAAAAUCAGCCUUGGCUGCAUCAGGCUCAGAAUUUUCACGAGAGAACUAAUAUUUAAUCUCUACAUUUUCUCUUCCAGGUUACACGAGAGAGAAUAGCUCAAGCAACCAAGUCUGACCCUUAGCUACAUCAAAAUCUGACAGCAGCAAGGUUAAAUCUGUUUUACACUUUGCGUUUCUUUAUUUGCUGCAACUUGAGUUAAUGAGCAUUCAAACUUGGCUUCAAAAGUCAAACAUAUCAUUGAUUCAUUGAACUGAUUCAUUAAAGGCAGGCCUUCUUCUGGAGGUUUUGAAGACUAAGACUUCCAGGGCUGCAGAGUGGAAGAAAAACAGGUCAUAGGGACAAAUGGGCACAGUCCUGUGCUCUCCUUAAUGUAAUUAAGUCAGUUAUUUGCAGGUUAAGUUACUGCUUACUCUUUGGAUGAUUAAGCAGCAACUGGGAUAGACAGGAAUUGUUAAAGAAAAACUUCAGUGCAUUAUAAAAGCAGAUCUGAAUAUCACACUUCAACUUUAAAUAUGAACAAAUGUUUUCACUAGAGUCUUAAAAGACAGCAAUAAAAAUAAUUAAGAAAUCACAACCCAUCAGCUUAAACACAACCCAGCAAAGACUUCUGGGUUUGUAGGGGAAAGUGGCAUCUUAUUGUAUGCUUUCAAAGGAACAGGUAGGAGAAAAACUCUAAAGUCUUCUUCCCUUUAACACACAUGCAUACAAAGUGUUAUCUUUCUGUCAGUUUUGAAGAAGGCCUAAGGAAUACACUUUGUGAGCUAUUCACCAUUCGGCUGAAAGAUUGGAAAAUACAAAAGAGAAGAUUUCCUUUAUUCAGAAGUUUUAUGCUGAAGUUAAAGAGGAGUUAAAAAGAAAAUCCAUGUUUCAGACAGUUUGGCUAAUAGCUCAGCUUUCAGCUAUUUUGGCAUCUCCAUUUAACUAAAUUCUGCUAUGCAGCCUAUGGCUUCUAGAGUCACAGGGAACAAAACUAUAAGAGAGGAGGGUGAAAAUUCUCUUUGUAGAGCGCCUUUACACAGCUGAUGAUGUACAUUAGGAUGUGAAUUCAGCUGCCUCUUCUGAAUGAAUAGGAAAUAAGCUAUUUAGAGCAAAAGUAAUCUUCAGUAAAAGCAGCAAUUUAUCUUCCAGGGGCACAAGCACAUUCCUUAGAGAAUGUUAAGGAAAAAAUGCUGAAACAGUACUGUUUGGAAAAAUUCUCAUGAACUUACAUUGUCCCAGAGCAAAUAGGUGGGCAAAAACUGCCAGGAAACACAUCUUACAAAAUUACAGCUCCUCAGCAGAGGGGCAGAAACUGGCUACAGAUGUGCUUCCAGACCACUGCAAAUGUAAAACCAAAAUAGUUGCCAAAAUGGGUAUUUGCUCAUCCACCUGAGAUGUGUACUCACUGUUAAGGUUCCUGUGUUUUUAUAUGCUGUAGCUGCUAAGAACAGGGUCACAGAAGUUGCCACAACGCUGUACUUAUGUGAUGACUAAAAUAUCACCUGACUGACUCAUGUCCCUGGCUAGGCACUACAAUUUGAACCAGGUGAAUGGGUGCCAGAGACAACCAUUUAUCUCCACAUCUUCAAAGACCAAGAGACCAGAGCUGGUAGGAAGCUGCAAAGAGAGCACAAAUUAAACAGCAAGCACCCCCAAACGCCUUCAUGCUGACAGAUAUUGCUAUACUGCAAGACAGACAGAGGUGCAGUUAGAGGCCAUGAGCAAGAAAGCACCGUUCUCUCCACUAUUUACUCACUGACACUGCAUUAGAUUACGUCCGCUAGGAGCCGAGAAGAGGAAGGAGGGGCCUCCCAGUGACUGCCGACAGACAUCCUGAUACAUAGCAAGAGAACUAUGGCACCUAAUAUUCCAGUUGGGCUCCUUGUGGUACCUGCUUCCUCUACGGACUUCUGUAUUGCUUCUGCCAGUUCUUGGUCAGCAAUCUCCUCCGGCCGCACGUCCUCCCGCCCUGCCCCGUAAGCCAGCCUCGCGCACUCUGGGAGCUCGCCCUCUGGGAGGAAGGUGGUCUGCGAGCCAGUUGUGCCGAUCACCAGUACGUUCUUCUUGAGAUCAAUGGAACACUGCGGGAGAGCAUCAAGAUAUCAGGGCCCCCAAAAGAACCAGGUGAUUCCAGGAGAAAAAGGGAAAACAAGGCAGGUUAAACAAUUCGUUUCCAACAGGAACAGCUCACAGACACUAAACAAAGGUGGGCUGAGAGCUUCAGCUAUAGGCAAGGGCCCCCGGAUGCCUUCAUUUGUAAUAAAUCAUUCUGUUUCAAAGCUCCGAGCAUCUCUGUUCAGAGCAAAAAAACUUCAGAGAGCAGCCAGACACCAUACAGGUAGCCAUGAUGUAUGUCACAUAUGUACUUCUUCCACAACUGGCUGGAAGACAAUCUACUAUUAUCACUCCAGAAAAUCCUAAUACACACACAGGAAUGGCAUUUAUGUCAUAUUUAGUGAUUGACGUGGAAGAGCCAGUAACUGCUUCAAAACCGCUUUUGUUACCUGAUGCCUCUUAAGCAUGUCCAGUCCUAGAAGCAUGUCCAUGGGCUGCUCUUCAAGGAUUGAGAAGGAACAUGCCAGGAAAUCCCCUUCAAUCUGAACCUGAGCUGAAAUGCAAGGAAGAUGAGUUACCACCUCACAAGCUAACAGCACAAGGACUCUGCCUUCUGUUCUUCCAUCGCCUAGGAAAAGUCUGCACAAGCCUGCGGGGUAAAUCUGAAACCAGAGCUCCAACAUACUGUUUUGGCCCCAGGAAGUCAAGCCCUGUGCAAGCCCCAAUAACUAUCAGGCACGUGUUGGUCUCAGGUAAUGAAUUAUUUUAAAAGCUGACCUGCUGUACAGCCUUAAGUACUGCUUAUCUAACCCUCUGAGCUAGAGCUAAAGUAAUGGCACAGCUCAUUAGAGCACAAGACUAAGUGACAACAGCAAAGAGGAUCCAUUUUUCAGACAAUAAGGACAACCUUCUGUCAUCCAGAAAACCUGCACAAGAACACAGACAGCGUUCUCCUCCCGGAGGAAUAUGAAACACUCAGCUGUACUGGAACUCUUCCUGAGCUACUCAUACUGCUGAACAGUCACACUCCAAGCAGGAAAGAUCCUGCUAUUUCACAUUUUUGCACACACUCACUUUUGCACGCAGUGUGAACAUCUCCUCUAUGUCUGCAGGAGCUGGAAACCCCCCCCUCAACUAAAGUGUUAAGAUAAUUCCACUAAGAAAAGCACUAAACAGGACAGAAGCCAGAUUACUGCAUCCAAGUCAAAUGAACAUAUUGCCGAUGCACUUUUUAUUUUACUCUGUGGGAGUUUCUAACAUUUACAGCAUUAAAUUAGAUGCAGUCAAACUGCCACCAAGGCUGCCCAAAGAAGAAAAAUGCCUGUACUUACCUAAGUGCACUCUGCCAAUGAUUUUCUGUGUCCCUACACCUUUCGCAAUGCCAGCCCACCGCCGAUCUACCAGCCUCAUUAUGUUGCACCUUUCAGCACAAGAUUGGCUCAUAAUGGUCAUCUGGGCACCUACCAGCAACAGAAUUAAGAGUUAAAUCCUGAGGGGUCAUCCCAAAUUAAAAUUCUGUCCUGAAAGGGAGGAAAAUCCCGCACUCAGCAGCCAGGAAGCCGUACCACCUGUAUCAGGGAACUGCACUACAGCACAAAGUGCUGCUUGUGAAUCUCCCUGCUUUUAAUUUACUCUGUGUGUAUACCCAGAGAUAAGCACUGACAGUAAAGUACAUAUUGCUGUUGAGCUGAAAUAACCCUGAGUACUUUCCCUUUAAAGCUCUGGAUGGAAAGUACAGCAUUACAGGCAAGCAAAAUUCCCCUCAUCUGUAAACUGAAGUAAGGCACACAUUUGGCAGUGACCUUUCCAGCACUGCAACCAUCAGACACCAGAAAUUCCCACCAAAGCCUUGAUCCAGGGGUGUUCGAUCACUCAUUUGCAGUGCUUCCCAAAGUAUCUCAACAAUUUGCUCUGCUUGCCUUACACAACACCCAGAGUGCUCUCAGAUUUUAAUUAGAUGCUUUAAAAAUCUUUUAACAUCAUGCUUCACUAGGGAAAGCGAAUAUUUCAGGCAAAAUUUCUGGAUUGUUUACCAUCUCCCUCAAUGAGCCAAAGGAGGGUAUGGAGCAAGAGAUUAAAAUGUGAGCAAUUCACCUGAGUCAACAAAGGCUUUCACUGGAUGUCCGUUGACUUUGCAGUUAAUAUACAGCAUUACCACCUGGCCAAAACUCUCGGGGGCUUCUUCCAUUGCUAUUGUCAUAUUCUCUUCAAUAUUUUGUUGCCUAAAUUUAAGUGGAGAAUAAAUGAAAGAAAAUCAGACCUUCUUUCAGCAAAACCAGUGAUUUUGUGAGCAUCCUUCUGACUUGCAAACAGAUCUGGUAAUCCCACCCGCUACUGUUCAGCGAGUUACAAACAGUUUGUUUUAAACCACCAAGACUGCUUCAUUAGCUAAACAUAGCCUUAACAGAGGAAUUGCUAGCAAUGAUUUUGUCUUGAUCCAGAAAUACCAAGUCACUUCCCAGGAGGAAUGAAGACCAUUCCUUCCAACAUCUUGCAUAAUUCAUGCUACAGCAUUUAGGACCUGAGACACCUGCACCUCACAAACUUCUGCUUGCAACAAAACCUUGUCAUCACAGAGUUAACCAGGAGAACUUGUGGGUGAAAAACUGCAUAUUUAUUAGUCACUCUAAAAUAAAGCACCGAGUGCACAUGAUGAAGAUGUUGCCAGUAGCUACAACACUGGAAUCCCACACAGCAGCUGAACGUUAAAAUCUUCCAACGUUUCCCUGGUAUCUUGCCUUUUGCAGGCACGGGGAUGGAAGGAGAGUAGCAAAUCUGCAGGGAGAACACCACCAUGAUCACAAGCCCCUGCUGCAAAUUCAAGCCUACAGAAGAAACACUCACGAACCACAUUGCAGGCCUUGCAGUAAUCUUGAAAGUGAUGGGUAUCAGCAGUGACUGCAUCUGAAACAGCUUAUCUAGCAACAGAAAAGGGCUUCUGACUGUGAAACUAUUUCACUUUCCCCCUCAGUAGGGGAAGGGAGCUGAACUCUUCUCUUGCCUUUAUGUAUACUACAGUAGCCUUCCCACAACAAGAUGGGUAGAUGUGGUUUUUUGGGGGUGGGGGGGAAGAGGGCAGGCAUCCCCACCCCUCCCCAAAAAACCAAGCAGUAUCUGAGAUCUGGCUUUCUUGGGGACUAAAGCACCCUGCUACACUGCCACUAGUCCACUCUGACUUCAGAUAUUCAUGAAACAACUUGAAGAACCACACAUUGUACCGUCUCUUAACAUUUAAGCUUAAAUAAGAUAUACUACGGUGGUUGAACUUCAGUUUCAGCCUUCUUGUUAAAACUGCUACCCUCUUCCCUCCCUGCUUGACACUCCUUCCACCUAUGAUACACUUAAAGGAGAGAAACAUGGCUUGAAAAAUAUGAUGCUUGCAGUAGCUCUCAGGCAGACAGCAUCCAGUUAAGGAAGGCAUGUCAAGUGAUCAAAGAAAAUAAGGUCGGGUGUGAAAUUUGGGGACUGUUCGAUGCCCAAACUGUUCUAUAACAGCUGCACAACCUUGGGCACAUCAUCUUCAUCCCUCCCAAUUCUCCUUCAUCUGUGGAGCAAGUAAAGUGCUCCUGCAGCUCAGAGCAAUGUUUUGCUAUCUCUAAAUAGCAAUGCAGAAAAAUAGAAUGCAUAAACGCUAAGCAUUUAUCCUCCAGCAGCACCUUGUCAGUCGUAAUGCAAGAACUCGUUUUCUUAUCACAAAUGAAUUUUGGUCAUGACCAACUAUGAGUCUGUAUAAGACAGACAUUUCUACAUCAGGAAAAAACCCUAGCCAUGUUCUGACUCAAGGAUUUAUCAGUCAAUUUAAGAAAUCAAGGCUCAGACCAAUGCAAUUACAUUUGGAAGACAGAAAGGGGGAGCAAACGUCCAUGAGCAGAACAUCAUUCCUACAGAAAGACUCUUUUGACAGCAGUGAGGUUCAGAGUCUGGAAUUAGCCACAGAUACAAAAAAAAGUUAAUGAGGGAAACCAAAUAUUGAAGGCAGCUGGGAGAAAGGAUACCACAUCGCUGUGCAAAGAACUCAGGUUAGAGACCAGCAAGGGCCCAGUGCUUAGCUUUAAGAGAUGUCCAAGGCAUCUGAACACUAUAUCUCAAGAAGAUCUUUGCUAAGCGCUUUCCAUCCAUGUUCUCCAUCAAUUUCGGCGUGGCCCAGUUUAGACAGUUUUGGGGCAGCACCCUCACGGGCAGUGGUGCUGGAGCUCAUGCUCUGUGCUCAGCUGGAUUUAUCUACAAGGAUGGGAUGUGCCUAUAGGUCUGGAGUUCCCAAGCUUCCCACAGGCAAGGUAGCCCCACAAGCAAAUUUCUGUCUUAAGGCAGGAUCUGCCAUCUAAACACAUUCUGUGCGUCCUUCAAGGGAAAAGCACCAGGCUGGAUGGAAGCACCCUGUGAAAAAAGAGUUCCCUAAAGACCUCCAGAGCCUGCGUGUGAUUUCGGCUUGCUACCUUAUGUCUUCUUCUAUCUUGGCCUGUGCCUCAAGAUCAAAAGGGUCAGCUGAAUAGAGUCGAAUCCUCUCUUGCUCCCGCCGGGCUCGGUCCUGCUGUUGCUCCACCAACACCCUGGUGAAUUUCUCUGCAGUAACAAAGAAAUACAGAAAUGCUUUUUACCGGAAAUUACUCUUACAAAUCAACUUCUGGCACAGCAAGCUUUUUUUAUGCCAGCAUGCACUCAGGGAUAGAAUGAGUAGCACAGUCACAAAAGGCUUCAUCUGAAGGCAGUAUGGAUGGACCUCAAAGGACUGGUCACAAACUUGGGAACCUGCUAAGAUGAAAAACAACUGGAUGGAGCUAUUUCUCCUUGUGCCUGGUACCCAAACACAGCAAUGCUGUCACAGCAAUCAGAGUGAGUUUCCUUGCACGUACACUUUUUUGUAUGAAAGAAAAAUCAGAAGCAUAAAGACGACAGUAUUUACAAAGAGUUGCUAUUAAAACCGCAAUUCGUUUUUCUACUGCAGCACGAAUUGCCUACACAAUACUUGGAAAGAACAUCUGCAAAAACAGCAGAUAAAUUAUACCCAGACCAGAAAUUUAGAAUACAGAAUUUGAACACAAGCUUCUAGUUUGAAUUGUACAUGAGUAUUUUGAAAAGUCUUCAGACAACCUCUCUUUUCCACUAAGGAGAAAAACAAGCACAGUAACAGUAAUACUUUGCAUUUUCUCAUUUGCUGAUACCAAAGCAUUUUACGAAUGCAGCAAUCAUUAUACCCGUUUGUGAAGAAGCAAAGGUAUCUCAGUAGCACAGCCAUAGACAGAAUUGAGAUUUCUUAACUCUCAAUAAAAUGGCCCAUCUACAAGAACUGAUUGCAAGAAUAUAUCAUGCUUUACACUCAGCAACCCCUGCAAAAAUAACUGUCUGCAGAUUCAGCAAAAAGCAGAACCAACAUAAUUAGACAUAAAAAGAUUAACAGCAAAACUUUAAACCCAAACAGCAUGGGCCAAGACACAGAUAUUACAACCCCUAAAGUUGAAGGCCUACCACUGUAAUCGAGAGGAGCUAGCAAGGACACUUGCUUCAGGAAGUCUAGCCACACUUUCUAAGGACACAGCUUUUUAGAUCCCCCUUUUUUUGGGAGACCUAUGGCUAUUUUUUACUGCUUGAAUCUGAUCACAUACAUUCACAAAAACACUUGGCUAUAAAUUCUGUAAACACAA